CCAAUACAGAGGAGAUACUCUCCUUCUCCACCUCCAAAGAGAAGAACGGCUUCACCUCCUCCCCCUCCUAAACGAAGAGCAUCACCAUUUCCACCACCAAAGCGGCGGGUCUCCCAUUCUCCACCUUCCAAAGAAGCUCCCCAGUCACCAAGAGACGUUCACCUUCACUAUCAUCCAAGCAUAGGAAAGGGUCUUCCCCAAGCCGCUCUACCCGGGAGGCCCGAUCACCGCAUCCAAACAAAUGGCAUUCGCCCUCAUCACGGCCUCGAGCUCCUCAGACCUCAAGUCCUCCACCCGUUCGAAGAGGAGCGUCGUCAUCACCCCAAAGAAGGCAGUCCCCGUCUCCAAGUACUAGGCCCAUUAGGAGAGUCUCCAGGACUCCGGAACCUAAAAAGAUAAAAAAA
rnacentral:sRNA from 1 species